rnacentral:rRNA from 1 species
AUGAACGCUGGCGGCGUGCCUAAUACAUGCAAGUCGAGCGAACGGACGAGAAGCUUGCUUCUCUGAUGUUAGCGGCGGACGGGUGAGUAACACGUGGAUAACCUACCUAUAAGACUGGGAUAACUUCGGGAAACCGGAGCUAAUACCGGAUGAUAUUUUGAACCGCAUGGUUCAAAAGUGAAAGACGGUCUUGCUGUCACUUAUAGAUGGAUCCGCGCUGCAUUAGCUAGUUGGUAAGGUAACGGCUUACCAAGGCAACGAUGCAUAGCCGACCUGGGAGGGUGAUCGGCCACACUGGAACUGAGACACGGUCCAGACUCCUACGGGAGGCAGCAGUAGGGAAUCUUCCGCAAUGGGCGAAAGCCUGACGGAGCAACGCCGCGUGAGUGAUGAAGGUCUUCGGAUCGUAAAACUCUGUUAUUAGGGAAGAACAUAUGUGUAAGUAACUGUGCACAUCUUGACGGUACCUAAUCAGAAAGCCACGGCUAACUACGUG